UCGACUGGUUUGCGCUAUCUCUUUCUAGCACAUUGUACCGAGAAACUAAGAUGACAUUAAGGUGUGAAUAUAGGCACGGAAGAGGAGGACAACUGUCGUAGCUUAAUAUGCGUAAGAGUGAAACAGCACUAAUCCAAAGAAAAAAGAUGGCGUCGUCACUUCGCUUUGAAUGACACUCUCUCUAUGUCAAUUUACCUCUAUGGACGUUUGCUGUGAUUGGCAGUCAUCGUCAUCGGAUUGCAUGAUUUGAGUUUCCACUAGACUUGUGUUAUGGACGGAUUUUACGGGCUGUGAUUGGUCGUAUUCAAAUCAAUGACAUUUGAUGACAUUUAAAAGAAAUACGUAAUCCUGUUUUCUCGUUUGUUUUUGUUUAUGCAGUGUGUUUAUGUUAUACAAAAGAAAAAUAUUGAUAUUUUAGUUAUUAAUCUUGGAUUUUGAGACUAUUUUAUACGUUUAUACUUGUUUAUUGUAUUCAUUUUUAAACAGCCAUAUUAUUUCCAGCAAAAGUUAUGGAACGUUUACAGAUACAUAGUAAUAUUUAUAAAAAAAAAAAACAAAUUACUUUCUGCUUGCUUCCUAUAUUUUGUAAAUUUUUAAAGCUUCCUCCCAGACUCAUUUGAGUAUAAGGUGGUUCAUUUUUCCGAAAUAAAUGGAAAGGAUGGCGCAUUUAAUGCAGUGAUUUGAGCUAAUAUAACAACACAAGAAGAUGCUCAAAAUUGUCAAAAAGAAUAUGAAAAUAUUAAUAAAGUAAAUUUUAGAGUUCUAAGAACUUAUCCAAAUGAUUCUAUGAAGCUUGUUUUCAAGAAAGACUAUCGAUGCCAUCGCAAUACUCAGGCUAAUUUGCCUUCAUCAAAGACAAAAAAUCCGUCAUCUAAACAUGUUAACUGUCAGGCAUUCUUAAUAAUUACAGUGAAACCAUCAAGUAUGAAAAGGUAAAGUCUAUUUGCUAAUCUGAGACACAACUACUGUCUAGUGACGUUGGUAAUUUUUUUUGAGAAGUUAGGUUGCUAGAUGUAACUGGAAAAGACUACACAACCAAACAUAACUAAGUACUCAUAGCCAAUAUUAUUAUUAACAGUAAACAGGCAUAAAUAACAUAACAUACACCAUACACCAAUCAAUAAUUAUUUAUUUAAACCUUUAUAAUGUAUUGAUAACAGAUGAGAAAAGUAUUUAUUGUACAAAAUAAAAAUAUUUUAUAGAAAUAAAUUCCACAAAAUUUUA